rnacentral:tRNA from 1 species
UCCUAUAGCCCAGUGAUUAGGAUUCUUUGCUUUUACUACCAUGACCUGGGUUCAAUACCCAGUCAGGGAA